rnacentral:rRNA from 1 species
GCUCAACCGGGGAGGGUCAUUGGAAACUGGGGAACUUGAGUGCAGAAGAGGAGAGUGGAAUUCCACGUGUAGCGGUGAAAUGCGUAGAGAUGUGGAGGAACACCAGUGGCGAAGGCGACUCUCUGGUCUGUAACUGACGCUGAGGCGCGAAAGCGUGGGGAGCGAACAGGAUUAGAUACCCUGGUAGUCCACGCCGUAAACGAUGAGUGCUAAGUGUUAGAGGGUUUCCGCCCUUUAGUGCUGCAGCAAACGCAUUAAGCACUCCACCUGGGGAGUACGGUCGCAAGACUGAAACUCAAAGGAAUUGACGGGGGCCCGCACAAGCGGUGGAGCAUGUGGUUUAAUUCGAAGCAACGCGAAGAACCUUACCAGGUCUUGACAUCCUCUGACAACCCUAGAGAUAGGGCUUCCCCUUCGGGGGCAGAGUGACAGGUGGUGCAUGGUUGUCGUCAGCUCGUGUCGUGAGAUGUUGGGUUAAGUCCCGCAACGAGCGCAACCCUUGAUCUUAGUUGCCAGCAUUCAGUUGGGCACUCUAAGGUGACUGCCGGUGACAAACCGGAGGAAGGUGGGGAUGACGUCAAAUCAUCAUGCCCCUUAUGACCUGUGCUACACACGUGCUACAAUGGGCAGAACAAAG